GCGCCCGUAGCUCAGUGGAUAGAGCGCUCCCCUCCGGAGGGAGAAGUCGCAAGUUCGAAUCUUGCCGGGCGCA
rnacentral:tRNA from 1 species